UACUAACAGCAACUUAACUGAGUCAAACACAAUUCACUACUUGGAACUCUUCCAAUUCACUGCUUCUCUAGUACUUCUCAAGUACUUUGAGAAUACUUUUUACAAUUUUCCAAAGAUCUUAUCAUGGAUCUGCCUAAAAUCAAUGAUUAUGCACAAAGCAUAAAUUAUAUCAAGCAAGGUACAUUGAAUAUAUGGGUAAGUAAACUCCUUUACACCCAUUCAUGUUAAACACCUUCAACAUAAAAUCCAUGUACCUAGAUUGGG
rnacentral:lncRNA from 1 species